AUUCCAUGAGUGAUAGAGGUAAGAUGGACCCUAUGAAAUGGUGGAUUGUUCAUGGUUCUACUACACCAAAUCUCCAAAAGAUAGCCUUAAAAUUACUAGGGCAACCUUGCUCCUCUUCAUGUUGUGAGAGGAAUUGGAGCACCUACACGUUUAUACACUCAUUGAGGAGGAAUAGGAUUACACCUCAAAGAGCCGAAGACUUGGUUUUUGUUCAUAACAAUCUUCGGCUCCUUUCAACAAGAACUCCACAAUACAAGAGUGGGGAUAUGUGGGAUAUUGGAGGAGAUGUGUAUGAUACAAUGUU
rnacentral:lncRNA from 1 species